rnacentral:misc_RNA from 1 species
AAGUCGUAACAAGGUAACCGUAGGUGAACCUGCGGUUGGAUCAUUAACAAAAUCCAACUAAAACUUUGACUAGACUUCGGUUUAGUCUCUGUUUUAAAACACCUGUGAAUUGUAUAUUGUAUUUGGUGGGUUUAAAAGGACGAGCAAUCGACCACCCACCGACCUUACCUUUAAACAUUUUAUAUCCAACUUAGUCUUAAUGAAAGUUUUAUACUUAAAUUUAAUUUAACAACAACUUUUGGCAACGGAUCUCUAGGCUCUU